AGAAAAGUGACCGCCGCCCCGCGCAGGGGCGACGCCAGCAGACCGCAUGCAAAACAGGUUCAACGACAGUACGGGGCGCACCGACAAAAACGAAAAACGCACGCCCCCGCGAGCCCCUC
rnacentral:sRNA from 2 species